AUUGAACGCUGGCGGCAGGCCUAACACAUGCAAGUCGAGCGGAUGAAGGGAGCUUGCUCCUGGAUUCAGCGGCGGACGGGUGAGUAAUGCCUAGGAAUCUGCCUGGUAGUGGGGGAUAACGUCCGGAAACGGGCGCUAAUACCGCAUACGUCCUGAGGGAGAAAGGGGGGGAUCUUCGGACCUCACGCUAUCAGAUGAGCCUAGGUCGGAUUAGCUAGUUGGUGGGGUAAAGGCCUACCAAGGCGACGAUCCGUAACUGGUCUGAGAGGAUGAUCAGUCACACUGGAACUGAGACACGGUCCAGACUCCUACGGGAGGCAGCAGUGGGGAAUAUUGGACAAUGGGCGAAAGCCUGAUCCAGCCAUGCCGCGUGGGUGAAGAAGGUCUUCGGAUUGUAAAGCACUUUAAGUUGGGAGGAAGGGCAGUAAGUUAAUACCUUGCUGUUUUGACGUUACCAACAGAAUAAGCACCGGCUAACUUCGUG
rnacentral:rRNA from 1 species